rnacentral:rRNA from 1 species
UACGGAGGGAGCUAGCGUUGUUCGGAAUUACUGGGCGUAAAGCGCACGUAGGCGGCUUUGCAAGUUAGAGGUGAAAGCCCGGGGCUCAACUCCGGAAUUGCCUUUAAAACUGCAUCGCUUGAAUCCGGGAGAGGUGAGUGGAAUUCCGAGUGUAGAGGUGAAAUUCGUAGAUAUUCGGAAGAACACCAGUGGCGAAGGCGGCUCACUGGACCGGUAUUGACGCUGAGGUGCGAAAGCGUGGGGAGCAAACAGG